ACAGGAAGCAGAAAGAUGCAGUCGGGGUCUUGGAGAUUUUAUAACGACGGUAUGCUCCAGCUCUGGCGCCACGCUUCAUAGUUUUUCUAAAUGCUCAUACACAUGUACGAAGAAUAACGAUAAUGGUCAACCUACCUGGACUAAGCAUUUUUUGCCGAACGGCUUGCCUUGUGGAGAAUGUCAGUAAUGCUGCUACGGAAAUUGCCAGUCUGUCAAGUUCAACUUUAGAAACCCGUUUACUCUGAAGAAGCCAUGCAGUAAAUAAAAGGAG